AGAGUUGAUCUGGCUCAGGAUUAACGGCUGGCGGCGUGCCUAAUACAUGCAAGCCGAAUGGUUAGCUGCUAGACCAUGGCGAACGGGUGAGUAACACGUAGGUAACCUGUCUUAAAGACGAGGAUAACCAUUGGAAACGAUGGAUAAUACUGGAUAGGACAUAAUAAAGCACAUGCAAACAUGUUUAAAGGAGCAAUCCACUUAAAGAGGGGCCUGCGGCGCAUUAGCUAGUUGGUGAGAUAAGAGCCCACCAAGGCAAUGAUGCGUAGCCGGACUGAGAGGUUGAACGGCCACAAUGGGACUGAGAACGGCCCAUACUCCUACGGGAGGCAGCAGUAGGGAAUUUUCGGCAAUGGGCGGAAGCCUGAACCCGAGCAACGCCGCGUGAACGAAGAAGUAUUUCGGUAUGUAAAGUUCUUUUAUUUGGGAAGAAAAGACAGAUUGACUGUACCAAAUGAAUAAGCUCCGGCUAACUACGUGCCAGCAGCCGC
rnacentral:rRNA from 1 species